rnacentral:rRNA from 1 species
GUGCAAGUAUGUUGGCUUGAGAAGCAUCAGAACUAAAGGUUGAAUAUAAGCAAUGCCCAUGACUUCAGUCCUAGCAUGUCGCAUGCCACAGCUUCUGCCACCUCAGUAUCUUCAACUUGUUGGAGUACUGGCCAACCUCAUGGAACCACAGCAUGGUUCUUCCAUCCCACCCUUUUCUUCUCAAGGAAACACACAUCAGUAUUCUUCAUAUGGUGGUGGAUACCAGAGUGGUAGUACAACAAAAAAGAUUGAUAUCCCAAAUGGAAGAAAUCAUUAUCUUUUGAAAGAUUCAAGGACGUUCGAGGAGUGACUAGUACCAUUGAAGACUUUGCUGAGCGAGGCAAGAAACCUACUUUGAUCAUGUUGAACCCAUAUUUGCAUUACACUUAGAAUUAUUUUUCAUGCAUAAAGUAUUGUUUACUAGUAUUGCUAUUAAGUAAAUUAGCUAGGGUUUAGCUAUGCCCUAUGUGCUUGAUAUUGACACCCCUUUGACAUUCUUAUGCUUAGUAAAUUAGCUAGGGUUUCGCUAUGCUCUAUGUGCUUGAUAUUGACACCCUCCUUUGAUAAUACCGUUCCUUCACCAUGUAGUGGUCACAAAUAAAUGUGGGUCAUAUGUGCAAUUUAAUAGUAUUGCUUAGCCAUGCUAGUCGCAUAAAUCAUAGGACUUGGGAAGAAUUUUUGUUACUCAUAAAUGUUUUACAAAAACCUAAGGGUGUCACUAAUGCCCAUGGUAUGAUUCUGAAAAUAAGGUUAUAUAAAAUGGAGAUGAAGUGGAGAUUUAGUUAGGUGAUUGUGACUUUGACGAGAUAGUCAAAGAUGUUUGGUGGAUUAUAAAUUCUUUAUGUAUAGUAAAUGAGCAUGGUGGUUAUUGUAUUGGCGGAUAAAUGGAUCUUCAAUAAACUUGAAGCAAUUUGGAUUUAGUUAGGCGAUUGUAAUCUUGAACCAAAUUUCAUGGUGGAUUAUAAGCUUUCGAUGCAUUUAUUUAGUUCGUUGUGAUCUUGAGGAGAUAGUCAAAGAUGUUUGGUGCAUUAAUUAAUCUUGGACAAUUUGGAUUUAGUUAGGUGGUUGUGAUAUUGAACCGUAUUUCAUGAUGAAUUAUGAGAUUUUAGGUGGAUUUAGUUACGUGAUUUAAUCUUGAGAAGAUAGUCUAAAUUGUUCGGUUGAUUAUGAGAUUUUAGGUAUGGUAGAUGAGCAUGAUGAUUAUUAUACUGGUGGAUAAAUAGAUCUUUAAUUUUGUUUGGACCAUUUAGGAUUUAGUUAGGUGGUUUAGAUCUUAAACCAAAUUUCACGGUGGAUUAUGAGGUUUUGGUUGAAUUUAGUUAGGUGAUUGUGAUCUUGACGAGCUAGUAAAAGAUGUUUGGUGGAUUAUGUGAAUUUAGGUCUAGUAGGUGAGCAUGGUGGUUAUUAUAUCGGUGAAUAAGUAAUUUUUUAACAAACUUAAGAAAUUUUGGAUUUAGUUAGGCGAUUGUGAUCAUGAACUAAAUUUCAUGGUGAAUUACGAUAUUUUAGAUGGAUUUAGUCAGUUGAUUGUGAUCUAGAAGAGAUACUCGAAGAUGUUCGAUGGAUUAAUUAUCCUUUAAUAAUUUGAAUUACGUUUGGCUAUUGUGAUUGAACUGAAUUUCACGAUGAUUUAUGUGAUUUUAGGUGGAUUUAAAUAUGUUAUUAUGAUCUUGAGAAGAUGUCAAAGAUGUUUGGUGGAUUUUAAGAUUUUAGGUCUAGUAUGUGAGCAUGGGGACUUAUAUUGGUGGAUGAAUAGACCUCUAAUUUAGCUUGAAACAAUUUGAAUUUAAUUAGAUGAUUAUGGCCUUUUAACCAAAUUCAUGGUGGAUUUUGAUGUUUAGGUUGGAUUUAGUUAGGUGAUUGUGAUCUUGACGAGAUAGUCAAAGAUGCUCGAUGGGUUAUGUCAGAAUUUAUGCCUAGUCUAGUAAAUGAGCAUGGUGGUUAUUAUAUUGGUGGAUAAAUGGAUUUUUAGUAAACUUGGAGUAAUUUGGAUUUUGUUAGGCGAUUGUGAUCUUGAACCAAAUUUCAUGGUGAAUUAUGAGAUUUUAAAUGAAUUUAAUUAGCUGAUUGAGAUCUUGAGGAGAUAGUCCAAGAUGUUCGGUGGAUUAAUUAAUAUUUUUUUGAACACAGUACAAGCGCAAGUGCUAUAUACACGUGCACACACUUGCCUCUAUGAACGCACACAUGCACACCCUACACCUAUGAGCAUCCCCGAGAGACUAAGCCGGCUUAUCAUCUUGAGAUUUUAUGAAGUCACCGUAGGCGCCUCGUAGUCGACGGGAACAAUUUGGAUUUAGUUCGGUGAGUGUGAUAUUGAACUAAAUUUCUCGGUGAUUUAUUUGAUUUUAGGUGGAUUUAGUUAGGUGUUGAGUCUUGAAAAGAUAGUCAAAAUGUUCGGUGGAUUAUGAGAUUUUAGGUAUGGUAAAUGAGCAAGGUGAUUAUUAUAUUAGUAGAUAAACAAAUAUUUAAUUUAGUUUGGAUCAAUUUGGAUUUAGGUAGGGAUUGUGAUCUUUUAACCUAAUUUUACAAUGGAUUAUGAGGUUUUGGUUGGAUUUAGUUAGGUGCUUGUGAUCUUGACAACGUAGUUAAAGAGUUCGAUGGAUUAAUAUGUCUAGUAAGCGAGCAUGGUGGCUAUUACAUUGGUGGAUAAAUGGAUCUUUAAUAAGCUUGAAGAUAUUUGAAUUUAGUUAGGCGAUUGUGAUCUUGAACCAAAUUUUAUGGUGGAUUAUGAGAUUUUAGCUAGAUUUGAUUAGUUGAUUGCGAUUUUGAGGAGAUAGUAAAAGAUGUUUGGUGGAUUAAUUAAUCUUGAACAAUUUGGAUUUAGUUAGGUGAUUGUGAUAUUGAACCAAAUUUCUCGGUGAUUUAUGAGAUUUUAGUUGAAGGGGAGCCUUGGCGCAGUGGUAAAGCUGCUGCCUUGUGACCAUGAGGUCACGGGUUCAAGUCCUGAAAACAGCCUCUUACAGAAAUGUAGGGAAAGGCUGCGUACAAUAGACCCAAAGUGGUCGGACCCUUCCCCAUACCCUGCGUGCGCAGGAGCUACAUGCACUGGGGCUGCCCUUUUAUGAGAUUUUAGCUGGAUUUAGUUAGGUGAUUGUGUCUUCAAAAGAUAGUCAAGGACGUUCGGUGAUUAUGAUAUUUUAGGUGUAGUAGACGAGCAUGAUAAUUAUUAUAUUGGUGGAUAAACAGAUAUUUAAUAUAGUUUGGAACAAUUUGGAUUUAGUAUGGUGAUUGUGAUUUUUAACCAAAUCUUAGGGUGGAUUAUGAGGUUUUGAUUAGAUUUAGUUAGGUGAUUGGGAUCUUGACGUGCUAGUAAAAGAUGUUCGGUAGAUUAUGUGAAUUUAGGUCUAAUAGGUGAGCAUCUUGAUUAUUAUAUUGGUGGAUAAAUAAUUUUUUUAUAAACUUGGAAAAAUUUGGAUUUAGUUAGGCAAUCGUGAUCUUGAACCAAUUUUAUGGUGGAUUAUGAGAUUUUUGAUGAAUUAGUUAGUUGAUUGUGAUCUUGAGGAGAUAGUCAAAGAUAUUCGAUGUAUUAAUUAACUUGAACAAUUUGGAUUUAGUUAGGUGAUUCUGAUAUUGUCGAACAAGUGAUGUCGACACCGAUGACUUCCCGAUUAAGAUAGGACUGCAUCAGGGGUCAGCUUUGAGCCCUUAUCUUUUUGCAUUGGUGAUGGAUGAGGUCACAAGGGGUAUACAAGGAGAUAUCCCAUGGUGUAUGCUCUUUGCGGAUGAUGUGGUGCUAGUUGACGAUAGUCGGACGGGGGUAAAUAGGAAGUUAGAGUUAUGGAGACAAACCUUGGAAUCGAAAGGGUUUAGGCUUAGUAGAACUAAAACCGAGUACAUGAUGUGCGGUUUCAGUACUACUAGCUGUGAGGAGGAGGAGGUUAGCCUUGAUGGCCAGGUGGUACCUCGGAAGGACACCUUUCGGUAUUUGGGGUCAAUGUUGCAGGAGGAUGGGGGUAUUGAUGAAGAUGUGAACCAUCGAAUCAAAGCCGGAUGGAUGAAGUGGCGCCAAGCUUCUGGCAUUCUCUGUGACAAGAGAGUGCCACAAAAGCUAAAAGACAAGUUCUACAGGACGGCGGUUCGACCCGCAAUGUUGUAUGGCGCGGAGUGUUGGCCGACUAAAAGGCGACAUGUUCAACAGUUAGGUGUGGCGGAGAUGCGUAUGUUGAGAUGGAUGUGUGGCCACACGAGGAAGGAUCGAGUCCGGAAUGAUGAUAUACGAGAUAGAGUUGGGGUAGCACCAAUUGAGGAGAAGCUUGUCCAACAUCGUUUGAGAUGGUUUGGGCAUAUUCAGCGCAGGCCUCCAGAAGCUCCAGUGCAUAGCGGACGGCUAAAGCGUGCGGAGAAUGUCAAGAGAGGGCGGGGUCGACCGAUUUUGACAUGGGAGGAGUCCGUUAAGAGAGAUCUGAAGGAUUGGAGUAUCGACAAAGAGCUAGCUAUGGACAGGGGUGCGUGGAAGCUUGCUAUCCAUGUGCCAGAGCCAUGAGUUGGUUGCGAGAUCUUGUGGGUUUCACCUCUAGCCUACCCCAACUUGUUUGGGACUAAAGGCUUUGUUGUUGUUGUUGUUGUUGUUUAGGUGAUUCUGAUAUUGAACUAAAUUUCUCUGUGAUCUAUGAGGUUUUAGUUGGAUUUAGUUAGGUGAUUGUGUCUUCAGAAGAUAAUCAAAGAUGUUUGAUGGGUUAUGAGAUUAUAGGUCUAAUAAAUGAGCAUGGUGAUUAUUAUAUAGUUAGGUGAAUGUGAUUUGAUGAGCUAGUAAAAGAUGCUCGGUGAAUUAUUGUGAAUUUAGGUCUAGUAGGUGAGCAUGUUGAUUAUUAUAUUGAUGGAUAAAUAAAUCUUUAAUAAAUUUAAAACAAUUUGGAUUUAGUUAGACGAUUGUGACCUUGAACCAAAUUUCAUGGUGGAUUAUGAGAUUUUUGAUGGAUUAGUUAGUUGAUUGUGAUCUUCAAGAGAUAGUCAAAGAUGUUUUGUGGAUUAAUUAAUCUUGAACAACUUGGAUUUAGUUAAGUGGUUGCGAUACUGAACCGAAUUUCACGCUGGAUUAUGAGAUUGUAGGUGGAUUUAGUUAGGUGAUUGUGUCUUGAGAAUAUUGUCAUAGAUGUUUGCUAGUCUAUGAGAUUUUAGGUUUAGUAGAUGGGAAUGGUGAUUAUUAUAUUGGUAGAUAAACAAAUCUUUAUUUUAGUUUGGAACAAUUUUGACUCAGUUAGGUGAUUGUUAUGUUUAAACCAAAUUUACAGUGGAUUUUGAGAUUUUUUUGGAUUUAGUUAGGCGAUUGUGAUGUAGUACAAAUUUCAUGGUGGAGAUUUGCAAUGGAUUUAGUUGAUUGUGAUCUUGAGAAGAUAGUCAGAGAUGUUCGGUGGAUAAAUUAAUCUUGAACAAUUUGAAUAUAUUUAGGUGAUUGUGAUAUUGAACCAAAUUUCUCUUAUGAUUUAUGGGAUUUUAGUUGGAUUUAAUUAGGUGAUUGUGUCUUGAGAUGAUAAUCAAAUAUGUUUGGUGGAUUAUGAGAUUUUAGGUCUAGUGGAUGAGCAUGGUGAUUACUAUAUUGGUGGAUAAGCAUAUAUUUAAUUUAGUUUGGAGCAAUUUGGAUUUAGUCAGGUGAUUGGGUUCUUGACGAGCUAGUAAAAGAUGUUCGGUGGAUUAUGCGAAUUUAGGUCUAGUAGGUGAGCAUGUUGGUUAUUAUAUUGGUGGAUAAUUUUUUUUUAAUAAACUUGGAAAAGUUUGGAUUUAGUUAGGCGAUUGUGAUCUUGAACCAAAUUUUAUGGUGGAUUAUGAGAAUUUUGAUGGAUUAGUUAGUUGAUUGUAAUCUUGAGGAGAUAGUCAAAGAUAUUCGGUGUAUUAAUUAAUCUUGGACAAUUUGCAUUUAGUUAGGUGAUUGUGAUAUUGUACAAAAUUUCUUCGUGAUUUAUGAGAUUUUAGUUGUGUUUAUUUAGAUGAUUGUGUUUUGAGAAGAUAGUCAAAGAUGUUUGGUGGAUUAUGAGAUUUUAGGUCUAAUAGAUGCGCAUGGUGAUUGUUAUAUUGGUGGAUAAAUGAAUCUUUAAUAAAUUUGGAAUAAUUUGGAUUUAGUUAUCCGACUGUGAUCUUGAAUCAAAUUUUAUGGUGGAUUAUGAGAUACUCCACGCAUCUCCUGCGCCCCGCAACCCUCUCCUUCCCAGCACAGCAGGAGCAGGAGCAAGGAUGCCGAGGCGGUUCAGUCGCGAGGAAGAGUAGGAAGAUCAGGCAGAGAGGGUUUCACACACCUCUUCUACACUGACAACUCUUUGCUUUCCAGGAUUGCCAUGGGAGCUUUGGAUGGUGGUCUUGAUCUUCCGCACAGUGACAAGAGAUUUGCUGGCUUCAAGAAGGAUAAGCAGCUGGGCGCUGAGAUUCACCUCAAAUACAUCUAUGAAGGUCAUGUUGCUGACUACAUGAAGUCAAUAGCUGAUGAGGAACCUAAGAAGUACCAAUCUCACUUCAGUGAGUACAUCAAGAAGAACUGAAGAAGAUCAAGGGUUACAGAUGCCAGUGCCACAAGGCUUGCCUAACAAAGGUUCCCAGAAAAGGAAUGGUUUGACAAAAAAAGGCUUUGCUCUCCAGGUGCAGAACACUUUCCCCCUCCCCAUCGAUGACGAUCUUCCUGUUUCUUUAUGGUCUACUUUACAAGAGAAAACAUUUCUCUGGAAGGAGCUGCAAGGAGUUCUUCACAUGGCAAACAUAGAUGAAGGAAUGAUGUAUGCCUUCACCUUCAGACGCAAGGUAUUGCGAGCUAAUCCUACCCCCUCCCCACAGUUUCUGGAAAACGUGGGAUCCAUUACCAGCAGUAUCAAGAUCGGGGGCGAGGGCCGAGCAGUUUCGGCGGCGAGCGGGCGAUUUCGCGUUGGGCGCCCUCGUCGGCAUUGGCUUUCAGCCAUGGAGGAAUCGACGCCUCAGCUUCACGAUGAAACGUUACAGCGUCUCCACCGCCACCGCUUCUGCCCUGAGGUUAUUUGGCGGUGGGCAGCAGCGUGUGAAAUCUACUGCAGAGGAGUUGGGCAUUUUCCUACCGGUGGAAGACCUGCAUCCAGCCCCACAAGUCCUUUACUAGCCCUCCUUGCCGCAGUUCCAUCCUCUACCGUCAGGCCAGGCUGCAUUUUGGCAUGGUUUUUUACUCCAACCGACUCAAGUCUGCUCAGAACACAAACCACAUGAUGUGUCGAGGUAUCCUUGUCUUCUGGCUCCUUGCGAUGCCACUGGUGUACGGCGACGGAGCCUUGGCUGGUGACUGCUGCCACGGGACCUUGAAACUGGACCUAAGCAGUGUGUUCCAGGGUGGUGGUGACAUAGAGGAUGAGCGCAGUGGCCCUAAAGCCGGGUGCAGUCUGUGAAUGAAGAUAUGUCAAAUGACACUACAUCUCUUGAAGCUAUCCGAUAAAUGGAGAACGUAGGCCAUAGCCAAAACUGAAGUUAGUGACCUCAAUUGCUGUCACAUGAAGAAACUUAGAGCAGGAAAAUGUAUAUGUAAGAAUCAACUUGGGGUGGCAAACAUACCAGCCGGAAACAUUUUAAGGGCUGGUUCGUUGCAGCAAGGUAUGCAACAUUAUAAUGCUAAGCUACUCACUUGGACAAUGAGAUCAUGAAUUCAACUCUUAUGAAAAUUGAAGAACUGACAGAUUCUUGUACAAUCUCGAUGCGGAUACAUUUAACAUGAGAGAUGAAACAACUCUGAAUCCAAAGAGCAAUGGAAGUCAAAAUCAGCAACUAGCUGUGGCCUGUAGCUUGUUCACCGCCAUCAGACAAUCUGAAGCCAGAAUCAUCACUCGUCGAUAGCCUUCCGACACAGCAAAAUGCAGACCUUUGGUCAAAGCCGCUAUUGCUUCAGCCAGUUCUUGGAUGCUGACCCCUAGUCUGAACAACGCGAGCCAGGACAUCACACCCCCACGCCCAUCAUUUGAUCAUUCAAUGAAGUACUGCAGCAUCAGCAUUCUUGGCACUAUCGAUGAUGGCUCACACCUGGAGGUAGACACCGGGGAAACAAGACGCUGUUGGAUCAUAUCAAUAUAAGCCUCCUGAUCUUAUGCACAACCCUUUGUAGUACAGGACCACUUUUGCUUUUUCGAGCCUCAUUGGGUGCGUCCCCUGGGAAUUGAUAUGUAACAACAAUAGUAAUGGAUGUUUCUUUUAUUUGACUAGAGUUGUUUUGACAGUAAUUAUAUGCUUUGGAUUAUGCGG